rnacentral:rRNA from 1 species
AUUGAACGCUGGCGGCAGGCCUAACACAUGCAAGUCGAGCGGAGCGGCGGACGGGUGAGUAAUGCCUCGGAAUCUGCCUGGUAGUGGGGGAUAACGUCCGGAAACGGGCGCUAAUACCGCAUACUAUCGGAUGAGCCCAGGUCGGAUUAGCUAGUUGGUGGGGUAAAGGCCUACAAAGGCGACGAUCCGUAACUGGUCUGAGCGGAUGACCAGUCACACUGGAACUGAGACACGGUCCAGACUCCUACGGGAGGCAGCAGUGGGGAAUAUUGGACAAUGGGCGAAACCCUGAUCCAGCCAUGCCGCGUGUGUGAUGAAGGUCUUCGGGUUGUAAAGCACUUUACGUUGGGAAGCGUUACCAACAGAAUAAGCACCGGCUAACUUCGUGCCAGCAGCCGCGGUAAUUC